CCGUGAUGAACAACCGUCUGUCGCUGGGGCGAAGCUUAAACUGGGGGAAACGGCUGCGAGGUUAUAUCUUUAAUAAAGAAAAAUGUAUAUUAUUGAUAUAUAUUUUUAGUUUGUAUGCUAAUAUUUUAAUACAAUAAUUAUAUAUUGUAAUUAGUCUUUUAUUUAAAAACACCUUUAUUAAGCUAAUUAGCAUCUGUUAAUUCAUUUAAGUAACAUCUCAAAAGUCAUAGCAAGGUAGCUUGUACUGGAAA
rnacentral:rRNA from 1 species